UACGUAGGGUGCGAGCGUUGUCCGGAAUUAUUGGGCGUAAAGGGCUCGUAGGCGGUUUGUCGCGUCGGGAGUGAAAUCCACUGGCUUAACUGGUGGCUUGCUUUCGAUACGGGCAGACUGGAGGUAUGCAGGGGAGAACGGAAUUCCUGGUGUAGCGGUGAAAUGCGUAGAUAUCAGGAGGAACACCGGUGGUGUAGACGGCUCUCUGGACCGUAACUGACGCUGAGACACGAAAGCGUGGGGAGCAAACAGG
rnacentral:rRNA from 1 species